rnacentral:lncRNA from 1 species
GUGAGCUGUAGGGUGGAACUGGCCAGCACCAGAUGCUUCCUCCAUCAGCCCAGAGCUGCUGCAGUCACAGGGCUCCUGCACAGGCAGCAGCAGCACACAUACACUUCCCCUUAAGAGAACAGUUUUAUGCGAAGCUGAGAGUGCUCAGAACUACAAAGCUCACCUGAGCAUCCAGUUUCUGUUCUCCAGAAGCCAAAUGCUGCCACUUAGCUCACAAGGACACGGACAAAGAUUCAGGCAAAAGAUGAAGAAACAUGGAGCUCUCCAGCCUGAGCAGAUAUUGUGUGGAAAAAGUGAAUUUCCUGAGCAAUGGAAAUGUCUUAAUGCCUAA